rnacentral:rRNA from 1 species
ACCAGACUCCUACGGGAGGCAGCAGUGGGGGAUAUUGCACAAUGGGGGGAACCCUGAUGCAGCGACGCCGCGUGGGUGAAGAAGCGCCUCGGCGCGUAAAGCCCUGUCAGCAGGGAAGAAAAUGACGGUACCUGAAGAAGAAGCCCCGGCUAACUACGUGCCAGCAGCCGCGGUAAUACGUAGGGGGCAAGCGUUAUCCGGAUUUACUGGGUGUAAAGGGGGCGCAGACGGCGAUGCAAGCCAGGAGUGAAAGCCCGGGGCCCAACCCCGGGACUGCUCUUGGAACUGCGUGGCUGGAGUGCAGGAGGGGCAGGCGGAAUUCCUGGUGUAGCGGUGAAAUGCGUAGAUAUCAGGAGGAACACCGGUGGCGAAGGCGGCCUGCUGGACUGCAACUGACGUUGAGGCCCGAAAGCGUGGGGAGCAAACAGGAUUAGAUACCCCUGUAUC